rnacentral:rRNA from 1 species
AUUGAACGCUGGCGGCAGGCCUAACACAUCCAAGUCGCACGAGUGGCGGACGGGUGAGUAAUGUCUGGGAAACUGCCUGAUGGAGGGGGCUAACUACUGGAACCGGUAGCUAAUACCGCAUACCAUCAGAUGUGCCCAGAGGGGAUUAGCUUGUUGGUGGGGUAACGGCUCACCAAGGCGACGAUCCCUAGCUGGUCUGAGAGAAUGACCCGCCACACUGGGACUGAGACACGGUCCAGACUCCUACGGGAGGCAGCAGGGGGGAAUAUUGCACAAUGGGCGCAAGCCUGAUGCAGCCAUGCCGCGUGGAUGAAGAGGGCCUUCGGGUUGUAAAUUACUUUCGGCGGGGAGGCGUUACCCGCAGAAGAAGCACCGGCUAACUCCGUGCCAGCCGCCGCGGUAAUUC